rnacentral:lncRNA from 1 species
AAAAGAUACAAUGGUUUUAAUAGAACAAUUUUGUUUGAAGAAAAUAUGUAGUAAAUUUAAAGACUUUUUGUUUGAAUUGUAUAUCAUAUUGGCAAUGCCAUCUUUGUGCUACAUUUUUGUUAAAACUACCAUUUUAUUUGUUAUCUGAAUUCAUUAUUUAAAUGUUGUGAAAGCCAUCACUAUUAUGUGCCAUAAAAAAAUAUUCAACCAUGUCCAGUGUGAUUCAUUUACAUAUUUUGAAAUGGGAACCUGUUAAAUAUUAUUCAGGUUAUGAAAAGUUGUUCUGUUGUAUACAUUACUCAAAUUUCCCUCUAAAAAUAAGAUGCUUUCAAGUUGAAUCUGGUUUGAAAAUUUUUUUGCAAGUUUUGUUCCAUAAUAAAAUAUAAACUAUGAACCUAUUGUGGUAUUGGAUGUUUUAAGUGAAAAUAUCAACUUAUUUAUCAACUUUGAAUCAGUUGUAUACAAAGGUGGCAAAUAUUAAAAAUUGAGCUCGUACAUUUUCACAAGAAAAGUUCUAGCGGACAAAUUUUCAAAAAGGCAAAAUGGAGAACAUUUGAUUUGUCCAACUUUUUUUUUUACUUGUAUACAGUCUAGAGAAGAAUUUGGUAUCCUUUGACUGAUAAUUAAUACAUAGUAAAUUCGACAGUUCAAAGAAAUGCUUUCAAGAUUGCAGAUUGCAGUUUUAACACAAUUGUCUUAUAUCAGAUCAUGAAUUUUUAGGGUAUUUGAUUUAAAAAAAAAAGCAACAACAGUAUACAGUCAUUUACUGGUACCUUUUAUUAUAAUCAUGGAAAAAUUAACAUAAAUACAGUCAUUUCAGCAUCCUCUUAGGUAUCUUAUAUAAAUAUAUAUGUGAUAAUUUGAGAAGUACACUGAUAUGAGCAGUGACAGAAAUCAUUUUCAUUACUCAUAUUCAUAUAGUACUUUGAAAUUAUAAAGACAAAGAAUAUUUCAAAAUAAGCACAUCUACAAAUGUUUUUGUAUUAACACUUCAAUGUGAUUCAAUGUCGUUUUAAUCCACAUGUUUCAUGGUAACAUAAGUUUACUUACUAGUUAUUUAAUAAAUCCUAUGGAUUCUUAACCACUAAAUCACAUAUUAUUUUGUUUUCAUAAUAUACAAGCGGUUGAACUAUUCUUUUGGGAGUUACAGAAUAGAAAUAAUGAACAGAAAAAGAAAAAAAAUGAGGAGAAAAACAGGAAAAACUAAGAAGAAUUGAGAAUAAUGGAAAAUAUAAAUAGAGAAUAGAGAAAAAAGUUGGCUUUUAAGACAUUUCAUAGCACUAAUAGUUAAAAAGAAUUGUUUUAAAACUAGAGCUUUUCUAAAAUAGCAGGUUCAUUUAAUGUUUGGUCGGUUUACUUGCAAAAUGAUCAAAGAAGCUUACUCAAUGAAACAGUUUGCAUUGACACAUAAAACUGAAAUAUUUUCAGUAUGAAAAUGUUUUUUUAAUAAUACUUAGAUUUUUAUUGGAUAUAGGAUUUAAUUCAUGAUUCAUAUAAUUGUAGCAAUGAUCAAACCUAGUAAAGACACUUGCCAUACUUUUGUUUAUCAUACACUAUUAGAAUAGCUGUAAUAAAUUCAAUGCAUUUCCUUUUGUUAUGUCUAAUGGCAGUUUUCAGUUGUAUUGUGGAUUUAUUUAUUUUCGUGCAUACUAAUUUUCGUGGAUUGAGAAAAACUUGCAUAUUCGUUGAUAUUUAAAUAAGUGGUUUUGGCCAAGUCCUGUAUACAUUCCUUUAGAAAAUUUGUAAUUAGUUGAACAUUUAAAUUCAUGGUUCCUCUGAACCCACAAAAUCCACAAAAUUUAGUAUCCAACGAAUAUUAUUGAAUCCACAGUAUUUGCAUUAAUAGGAGGAGCCAUCAAUAUAUAUUUUGGCGCCUGAGAAGGCACUUUGAAAUUGUAUGUAUGAGUGAAGUUUUUAACUAGGGAAUAAUUAUUGUCUGCUCCUGAAUUUUAUAUUAAUUUAAAUGGAGUAGUCCUUUAAAGGUAUCCCAGAGUACAAAUGAAACCAUAUUUGUAGAUGCAUUGUGGGUAGUUAGUUAUCCUGCAUACCUGUGAUUUUUAAACCUUGAUAUUAAUUAUAUAAUCUCAUUCGAAUCAAACCAUUAAAAGUGCUUUUUGUCAUGGUACAAUUUGCUCUACAAAAUACUCAUUUAAUGAAGUUAGUUCAUUUGGAAUUCUUUGACUUGUAUUUAUUUAGUAAUCAAACUUAAAAUUAUAGUAUAAUAUUGAAAUGUCCCCUAUAUAGUUAAACUUGACUAAAACUCUACUAGGAAAGAAAGCAAUCAUUUAGAUACUCUGUUAGCAUAGUUUGUUUAUAUCUUUUAUAAAAUUCUCUCUGAAAAUAGUAUGUUUGUUUAUAUAUUAAAGAAUAGAAGUUAUAUUGAACUAGAAUCAGAUAUUUAGAUAAUUAAAAAAAAGGGAGAUAGCUAAAUUAACAUGACCUAAAUAUUGUAAUACUAGACCAUGGAUAGGUUCCAAUAUUCAUAAUAAAGCUUUUCAUAUACACCUAUCAUCAAACCCAUUCUCCUGCAAGGGGAGAUAACAGGCGGUUUCAGCAAGACAUAUUUGAACAGACUUAAAAAUAUUUAUUUAAUAUUUUGUGGAGCAAAUUAUACUAUAGUUGUUGUUGUUAUGAUAAUUUGUUGAUCAUUUUGUAAACAUGUAAAUAAAGAAUAUGUAGAACACAUAC